CACGUAGGGGGCAAGCGUUGUCCGGAUUUAUUGGGCGUAAAGAGCUCGUAGGUGGUUCGGUAAGUCGGGUGUGAAACCUCCAGGCUCAACCUGGAGACGCCACCCGAUACUGCUGUGACUGGAGUCCGGUAGGGGAGCGUGGAAUUCCUGGUGUAGUGGUGAAAUGCGCAGAUAUCAGGAGGAACACCAGCGGCGAAGGCGGCGCUCUGGGCCGGUACUGACACUGAGGAGCGAAAGCGUGGGUAGCAAACAGG
rnacentral:rRNA from 1 species